GUACAUUCUCAGGGCGGGGUGAAAUUCCCCACCGGCGGUAUGUUUUACUCAUGACUUUAUGAAUAAAAUGAGCCCGCGAGCGCUUUAUUUAAUAAUCGUUUUUAAUGUAUUAAAUAAAGGUCAAGCAGAUCUGGUGAGAGGCCAGAGCCGACGGUUAUAGUCCGGAUGAAAGAGAAUAUAG
rnacentral:ncRNA from 2 species